ensembl:lncRNA
GGCAUGGAGAGGAAAGGCCAGGCAAGGUACGGCGAAGUCAGGCAAGGUCAAGUGUGGCUAGGUGAUGCCAGACCAGGCCAGACGAGGCCAAGCAAGGCAAGGCAAGGACAGGCAAGACAAGACCAGGCCAGGUCAGGCCAGGCAAGGCAAGGCAAGGCACGGCCAGGCCAGGUCAGUGCUGUCCAGGCCAGGCAAGGCAAGGAUAGACCAGGCCUGGCCAGGCCAGGAAAAGCGAGGCCAGGCCAGGCCAGGAAAGACAAGGCAAGGCAAGGCAAGGCAAGUCCAGGACAGGCAAGGCCAAGACAGGCAACGGCAGGCCAGGCAAGGCAAGGCAAGGCAAGUCCAAGCAAGGAUAGGCCAGACUAGGACAGGCAAUGCCAGGCAAGGCAGGGCAAGGCAAGGUAAGGCCAGGCCAGGCCAGGCAAGGUCAGGCCAGG